rnacentral:rRNA from 1 species
AUGAACGCUGGCGGCGUGCCUAACACCUGCAAGUCGAGCGGCAGCGAGGGGUGCUUGCACCCUGCCGGCGAGCGGCGGACGGCUGAGUAACGCGUGGGAACGUGCCCCAAAGUGAGGAAUAACUGCCCGAAAGGGUAGCUAAUACCGCAUAUUAUCUUCGGAUCAAAGGAUUUAUCCGCUUUGGGAGCGGCUCGCGUCGGAUUAGGUAGUUGGUGAGGUAAUGGCUCACCAAGCCGACGAUCCGUAGCUGGUCUGAGAGGAUGACCAGCCAGACUGGAACUGAGACACGGUCCAGACUCCUACGGGAGGCAGCAGUGAGGAAUCUUCCACAAGGGGCGAAAGCCUGAUGGAGCAACGCCGCGUGCAGGACGAAGGCCUUCGGGUUGUAAACUGCUUUUAUAAGUGAGGAAUAUGACGGUAACUUAUGAAUAAGGAUCGGCUAACUACGUG